rnacentral:rRNA from 1 species
AUUGAACGCUGGCGGCAUGCCUUACACAUGCAAGUCGAACGGCAGCACGGGAGCAAUCCUGGUGGCGAGUGGCGAACGGGUGAGUAAUAUAUCGGAACGUGCCCAGUCGUGGGGGAUAACGUAGCGAAAGCUACGCUAAUACCGCAUACGAUCUAUGGAUGAAAGCGGGGGAUCGCAAGACCUCGCGCGAUUGGAGCGGCCGAUAUCAGAUUAGGUAGUUGGUGAGGUAAAGGCUCACCAAGCCGACGAUCUGUAGCUGGUCUGAGAGGACUACCAGCCACACUGGGACGGAGACACGGCCCAGACUCCUACGGGAGGCAGCAGUGGGGAAUUUUGGACAAUGGGCGCAAGCCUGAUCCAGCAAUGCCGCGUGCAGGAUGAAGGCCUUCGGGUUGUAAACUGCUUUUGUACGGAACGAAACGGCGAGCUCUAAUACAGUUUGCUAAUGACGGUACCGUAAGAAUAAGCACCGGCUAACUACGUGCCAGCCGCCGCAGUAA